rnacentral:rRNA from 1 species
UGAGUAACCUGCCCUUAACUCUGGGAUAAGCCUGGGAAACUGGGUCUAAUACCGGAUAUGACUCCUCAUCGCAUGGUGGGGGGUGGAAAGCUUUAUUGUGGUUUUGGAUGGACUCGCGGCCUAUCAGCUUGUUGGUGAGGUAAUGGCUCACCAAGGCGACGACGGGUAGCCGGCCUGAGAGGGUGACCGGCCACACUGGGACUGAGACACGGCCAGACUCCUACGGGAGCAG